AAAGAUUUGAUGGUGUAGCUGAAGUCCGUAUGAGUCUUUGUCUUUGUAUCUUCUAACAAGGAAACACUACUUAGGCUUUUAAGAUCUGAU
rnacentral:pre_miRNA from 1 species